rnacentral:rRNA from 1 species
GUGGGAUGUAAUCGCCUUAUUAUUAACUCGGAUAACUUCGAGAUGAUUGAAACUAUGCAAGAUGGAGGACAGUUGGCGGGUGCAAUUUUCGACGAUUGUUUUCAUUACCCCUGUGAUUUCGUUACUACUUGAUUUGAACAUUUUAAUAGAGAAGCAAAUAAAGUAGCUCAUGAGCUUGCUAGAUUAGCUAGAUUUUUUUUUACUUCUGUUUUGUUUGAGGAACCCUUAAAUAAAAUUGAAGUGAUUCUCACAAACGAUGUACUUUUUAUCUCGUGA